UACGGAGGGGGUUAGCGUUGUUCGGAAUUACUGGGCGUAAAGCGCACGUAGGCGGAUUAGAAAGUUAGAGGUGAAAUCCCAGGGCUCAACCCUGGAACUGCCUUUAAAACUCCUAGUCUUGAGUUCGAGAGAGGUGAGUGGAAUUCCAAGUGUAGAGGUGAAAUUCGUAGAUAUUUGGAGGAACACCAGUGGCGAAGGCGGCUCACUGGCUCGAUACUGACGCUGAGGUGCGAAAGUGUGGGGAGCAAACAGGAUUAG
rnacentral:rRNA from 1 species